ACUGAACGCUGGCGGCAUGCCUUACACAUGCAAGUCGAACGGUAACAGGUCUUCGGAUGCUGACGAGUGGCGAACGGGUGAGUAAUACAUCGGAACGUGUCUAGUAGUGGGGGAUAACUACUCGAAAGAGUGGCUAAUACCGCAUGAGAUCUACGGAUGAAAGCAGGGGAUCGCAAGACCUUGUGCUACUAGAGCGGCCGAUGGCAGAUUAGGUAGUUGGUGGGAUAAAAGCUUACCAAGCCGACGAUCUGUAGCUGGUCUGAGAGGACGAUCAGCCACACUGGGACUGAGAAACGGCCCAGACUCCUACGGGAGGCAGCAGUGGGGAAUUUUGGACAAUGGGCGCAAGCCUGAUCCAGCAAUGCCGCGUGCAGGAUGAAGGCCUUCGGGUUGUAAACUGCUUUUGUACGGAACGAAAAGCCCCGGGUUAAUACCCUGGGGUCAUGACGGUACCGUAAGAAUAAGCACCGGCUAACUACGUGCCAGCCGCCGCGGUAA
rnacentral:rRNA from 1 species